rnacentral:rRNA from 1 species
GACGAACGCUGGCGGCGUGCCUAAUACAUGCAAGUCGAACGCACAGUUUAUACCGUAGCUUGCUACACCAUAGACUGUGAGUUGCGAACGGGUGAGUAACGCGUAGGUAACCUGCCUGGUAGCGGGGGAUAACUAUUGGAAACGAUAGCUAAUACCGCAUAAUAUUAAUUAUUGCAUGAUAAUUGAUUGAAAGAUGCAACUGCAUCACUACCAGAUGGACCUGCGUUGUAUUAGCUAGUAGGUGAGGUAACGGCUCACCUAGGCGACGAUACAUAGCCGACCUGAGAGGGUGAUCGGCCACACUGGGACUGAGACACGGCCCAGACUCCUACGGGAGGCAGCAGUAGGGAAUCUUCGGCAAUGGACGAAAGUCUGACCGAGCAACGCCGCGUGAGGGAAGAAGGUUUUCGGAUCGUAAAGCUCUGUUGUAAGAGAAGAACGGGUGUGAGAGUGGAAAGUUCACACUGUGACGGUAUCUUACCAGAAAGGGACGGCUAACUACGUG